AUUAUUUCAAUCAAAUCCUAAAAAAUAUGGAGAGCGUUUGGUAAAUACUGUCUGAAAGUGUAAAAAAAGCUGGUAAGAGUUUUGCUUAUUCUUGAUCUGGGAAUGUGUUUAGAAAAUUGUGUAACCGUACGUGGAAGUCUUAUUAACCAAGUCUUGUUCUGUUGUUAGGAAAGAUUUGUAAGAUAUAAGCUAAAACCAGCUUAAGAAACUAUGUGAAGUUGAAGUAGUUCCUCACUUGGUCAGGCUUGGCUAUUCCUAUUAGAGUGCGCGCAGGAAGCUGAACUUGCUUUGAAGCUCCAUAUAAAGAGGAUCCGGUCUUCCACAAGGUCAGAGAUGUUGCUCCAAACAAGCUCCUGCGCUGGAGCUUUUUGGUAACGUUGCAGGCUAGGUUUUGCCUAAGUUUUAGACUGCCUGAAGCAUGUUUGAUGGGCGAAGACUAAAACUGACAUUUUAUGGAAGAGAGAAGAAUCAAAACCAUCUGUUGUAAUCGCUAGAGGAAUGAAUGAAGUGAGUCUGUGUAAAAGAGUCUUUUAUAUCUUACAGAGAUGUUAGCAGUUUUGAAUCCAUUCUCAGCAAGUGAUGGAAUGUUUUAAGAUUCAGGUUUAGUUUUCAUACACAAUAAUAACUUCACAAUAAUAACUUCACACUAAUCAGUAUUGUUUGGUAAUUCCUUGGCGCAUGAGCCCUACUGGCUACAUAAUAAAGUUGACAAAGAAAAAACUUGAAUGUGCUUAAGAUUGAUUAUUAACAAAAGAAAAAUAAUUACUUUUGGAAAUGCUUGGAUGCAUAUUCGUCAAGACAGCUUUUGUAACUUUUG